CAGUCGCCACGGUAAAACGAAGGGUGCAAGCGUUACUCGGAAUUACUGGGCGUAAAGCGUGCGUAGGUGGUGGUUUAAGUCCGUUGUGAAAGCCCUGGGCUCAACCUGGGAAUUGCAGUGGAUACUGGGUCACUAGAGUGUGGUAGAGGAUAGUGGAAUUUCCGGUGUAGCAGUGAAAUGCGUAGAGAUCGGAAGGAACAUCUGUGGCGAAGGCGACUAUCUGGGCCAACACUGACACUGAGGCACGAAAGCGUGGGGAGCAAACAGGAUUAGAUACCCCCGUAGUCCCUGUCUCUUAUAC
rnacentral:rRNA from 1 species